rnacentral:rRNA from 1 species
AUUGAACGCUGGCGGCAUGCCUUACACAUGCAAGUCGAACGGCAGCGCGGACUUCGGUCUGGCGGCGAGUGGCGAACGGGUGAGUAAUGCAUCGGAGCGUACCUUUCAGUGGGGGAUAACGUAGCGAAAGUUACGCUAAUACCGCAUAUUCUGUGAGCAGGAAAGCAGGGGAUCGCAAGACCUUGCGCUGAUUGAGCGGCCGAUGUCAGAUUAGCUAGUUGGUGAGGUAAAGGCUCACCAAGGCGACGAUCUGUAGCGGGUCUGAGAGGAUGAUCCGCCACACUGGGACUGAGACACGGCCCAGACUCCUACGGGAGGCAGCAGUGGGGAAUUUUGGACAAUGGGGGCAACCCUGAUCCAGCCAUGCCGCGUGAGUGAAGAAGGCCUUCGGGUUGUAAAGCUCUUUCAGCCGGGAAGAAAACGCGCUCUCUAAUACAGGGUGUGGAUGACGGUACCGGAAUAAGAAGCACCGGCUAACUACGUGCCAGCCGCCGCCGUAAGAC